AGUGAACGCUGGCGGUAGGCCUAACACAUGCAAGUCGAACGGCAGCACAGGAGAGCUUGCUCUCUGGGUGGCGAGUGGCGGACGGGUGAGGAAUACAUCGGAAUCUACUCUGUCGUGGGGGAUAACGUAGGUAAACUUACGCUAAUACCGCAUACGACCUACGCGUGAAAGCAGGGGACCUUCGGUCAUUGAGCGAUUGAAUGAGCGGUUGUCGGAUUAGCUAGUUGGCGGGGUAAAGGCCCACCAAGGCGACGAUCCGUAGCUGGUCUGAGAGGAUGAUCAGCCACACUGGAACUGAGACACGGUCCAGACUCCUACGGGAGGCAGCAGUGGGGAAUAUUGGACGAUGGGCGCAAGCCUGAUCCAGCCAUACCGAGUGGGUGAAGAAGGCCUUCGGGUUGUAAAGCCCUUUUGUUGGGAAAGAAAUCCAGCUGGCUAAUACCCUGUUGGGAUGACGGUACCCAAAGAAUAAGCACCGGCUAACUUCGUGCCAGCAGCCGCCGCAG
rnacentral:rRNA from 1 species